rnacentral:snRNA from 2 species
AUAUUCUGGUUUCUCUUCAGAUUGUAUAAAUCUUUCACCUUUUACUGAAGAUUUCCAUGGAGAGGAAUAAUUCUGAGUCUUAACCCAAUUUUUUGAGGCCUUGCAUUUGCAGGGCU